UAGUCAUAUGCUCAGCUCAAAGAUUAAGCCAUGCAUGUCUAAGUAUACGGGGUGCUUGCAUCCCGAAACUGCGAACGGCUCAUUACAACAGUUAUAAUUUAUUUGAUGAUCUCUUCCUAGUCGGCAUAACACUGGGAAUCUAGUGCUAAUACGUGCACCAACCGGCGACUGCGCUUGGCUGUCGGGUUUCGGCCCGGCGGCUGCGGGAGCCGCGCGCUUAUUAGAUACCAAAAACCAUUCGGCGGGGUGGGUUUCGUCCCUCCCGCUGUCCUGGUGAAUCAGAAUAAGUUGCAGACCGCGUCCAGCGGCGGAUCAUUCGAAUUUCUGCCCCAUCACACUUUCAACCGUAGUGUAGCGGACUACGGUGGUUUUGACGGGUAACGGAGAAUUAGGGUUCGACUCCGGAGAAUGAGCCUGAGAAACGGCUCAUACAUCUAUGGAUGGCAGCAGGCGCGUAAACUGCCCAAUCCUCAUUGAGGGAGGCGGUAACGAGCAGUAUCGAGGCGCGGUCUUUCGAUCGCGCUUCUGAAAUGAAAGAUGCAUAGAACACACGACAGAAAGCGAGAAGAGGGCAAGUCUGGUGCCAGCAGCCGCGGUAAUUCCAGCUCUUCGAGCGUAUAUUAAAGUUGUUGCGUUUAAAACGCCCGUAGUUGGACUUCUCGGGUGGUGAGGUCCGGUCCUCGCCGGCGGAUGGGUUUUUCGGGGUGCGAUUGCGCGCUUCUUUUCGGCCCCUCGGGGUCGUUGUUGCGCGUGGUCCCGCCCCUCCACCGCUGUUUGCGUUGCGAUCGGACGCCUUGGGUUUGUGUCCGCCCUUCCCUUUUCCAAGGGUUGGGCCGGUCCCCCUUGGUCUUUAGCUUGCGCCCGGUGGCGCGGAGUUUCAAGUUUCUUUUCCCGCUUCGGCGGGCGAGGGAAGCCGCGCCAUGUUACCAUAAAGAAAUUGGAGUGUUUAAAGCAGGUCGCUUCGGCCCUUGCACAGUCCAGUAUGGAAUAAUAAAACAGGACUUUCGUCCGUUUAUUGGCUUUCCGGACUGAAAAGUAAUGAUUAAUAGGAGCAGUUGGGGGCAUUAGUACUGGGGCGGGAGAGGUAAAAUUCUAUGAUCGCCCCAAGACUCACUAAAGCGAAAGCAUUUGCCAAGGAUGUUUUCAUUAAUCAAGGACGAUAGUUGGGGGAGAGAAGGAGAUCAGACACCUCCGUAUUCCCAACCAUAAACGAUGCCAUCUAGGGAUUGGGCGAGCCCAUUUUUUCUAGAACUCCCUCAGGACCUUGCGAGAAAUCAUAAGAAUUCAGGUUACGGGGGGAGUAUGGUCGCAAGGCAGAAACUUAAAGGAAUUGACGGAAGGGCACCACAAUUGGCGUGGAGCCUGCGGCUUAAUUGGAUUCAACGCCGUGAAACUUACCAGGUCCAGACUCUCUAGGGAUUGUCAGAUUGAUAGCUCUUGCAUGAUUGUGAGAAUGGUGGUGCAUGGCCGUUCUUAGUUCGUGGGGUGACUUGUCUGCUUAAUUGCGAUAACGAACGAGAUCUCCGCCUGCUAAAUAGGCGCGCCCAGUAUAUGUGGGCUCGUGGUAGCGGGUUUAGCUCGGCGCCGGACUUCCUCCUGGCGGGAUUUAUUUCCUGCCGGCGGGGGGGACCGGUGCACCCGGGGCAGCGAGGCUUGGCCUCCCCGGGCCGUGGGCUUACCUGCGCGGUGCGCAUUCAAACGCCAUGUGGUUGGCUCCGUUCCUCCCUUGCCCUUUCGGGGGAUUUUGGGGGGGGGCGGUGGCUUUGCUGCGUGGCGGCGUGCCAGCCCGAGCCCUCUCUGGGUGGGUGGAUGGAGGGAGGCUGGGAGGCGGAGACGCCCCCCGGCCGUUGGCUUAAACGCGUGUUCCCUUGGCUCCGGCCGGGACGCGCAGGCGCUGCGACCCUUCGGGGACGCGGAUAAACUGGACGCUUCGUAGCGGGUCCGGCGGGGUGCGGCGACGAAGCCGCGCUGUGCGUCGCUGUUCUCGUGUUCGAUGGAGAUGUCUGGCGGCCAGGCCACCCUACUGUCCGCUUUUCGCGGUGGCUCUGGGCGGGGCAACGGAGGGGGGGUUUUCCCUUCUCACGUACCCUGUUCAUCUGCCGCGGGUCGCCUUCUUAGAGGGACAAUUGCCGCAAGGUCUGAGGAAGCUGGAGGCAAAAACAGGUCUGUGAUGCCCUAAGAUGUUCUGGGCCGCACGCGUGCUACAAUGGCGGAGGCAAUGAGUAUUUUUGUCCGAACCCGAGAGGGCGAGGUAAUCUUACGAAUCUCCGUCAUGGCUGGGAUUGGCGCUUGCAACUCUUCGCCAUGAACCCGGAAUGCCUCGUAAGCGCGUGUCACCAUCGCGCGCUGAAUAUGUCCCUGCCCUUUGUACACACCGCCCGUCGCUCCUACCGAUUGGACGUUGCGGUGAGCUGUUCGGAGGUUUGCUGUCCCCCGCUCUCGGGUGGGGUGCACACGCGAGCCAAAGUCCCGCGAACCCCAGCGUUUAGAGGAAGGAGAAGUCGUAACAAGGUUUCC
rnacentral:rRNA from 1 species